rnacentral:lncRNA from 1 species
CAGCUGAGUUGUCAGAGCUGAUACUUUCUCUUGGGAUGCAUCCAACUCUCUUCGUAGCUUGCGAAUCUCUGAUUGGCACUUCUCUUCAGGCUAUAAAAUAAAACCGGAGGAGAAUAUAUGAGGACAUUACAAUGGAACCAGUACAACAAUCUUAACUAUUAUAAUCAUUACUAUUAAUAUGAUUUUCAAAAAUUCAAGUGGUAAUUUCUUAUUUAGGAUUUUC